rnacentral:rRNA from 1 species
AACGAACGCUGGCGGCAGGCUUAACACAUGCAAGUCGAACGCAUCGCAAGAUGAGUGGCAGACGGGUGAGUAACGCGUGGGAAUCUACCCAGUUCUACGGAACAACAGUUGGAAACGACUGCUAAUACCGUAUACGCCCUACGGGGGAAAGAUUUAUCGGAAUUGGAUGAGCCCGCGUAAGAUUAGCUAGUUGGUGGGGUAAUGGCCUACCAAGGCGACGAUCUUUAGCUGGUCUGAGAGGAUGAUCAGCCACACUGGGACCGAGACACGGCCCAGACUCCUACGGGAGGCAGCAGUGUGGAAUAUUGGACAAUGGGCGCAAGCCUGAUCCAGCCAUGCCGCGUGAGUGAUGAAGGCCUUAGGGUUGUAAAGCUCUUUCACCGAUGAAGAUAAUGACGGUAGUCGGAGAAGAAGCCCCGGCUAACUUCGUGCCAGCCGCCGCAGUAACAC